rnacentral:ncRNA from 1 species
CCCGUUGAGUUUAAGAAUAUAAUUAGGCGGAGGAAAAUAAACUUACAAGGAUUCCCCUAGUAACAUCUAGCGAACUAGAAAGAGCCCAUCAUGAAAAUCAGGUGGCAGCACUGCUUAAAUUGUAGUCUAUAUAAAUUUCCUUAGUGGUGGACCGAGUCCAAGUCCCUUGGAAGGGGACGUCUAAGAGGGUGACAACCCCGUUGGUCUGGGACCCUGCCGCACCACGAGGCGUUGUUAGCGAGUUGGGUUGUUUGGGAAUGUAGCCCUAAUCGGGUGGUAAAUUCCAUCCAAGGCUCAAUAGGGGUGAGAGACAGAUAAGCGUCUUGGUUAGA